rnacentral:lncRNA from 1 species
CGGGGCGGCCCCCCGGGAAGCCGGUGGUGGCUUUGGAAGCUGGAAGCUUACAGCUUACCUGGCCUGUUCAGUCAGCUGCAGAGCCUCGUGCACAACCUCAGGGAAGAUCCUGCGGUCACUCAUGUGCUUACUCCGGCACUUCACAGCUAAAGUAGGAUCCAGUGAAAGCCUCAACUCUCUACUUGGCAGUGCCACUCAAGACAAUCUGUUGCUUCCUUCAGGCCUCCUCCCAAAGCAGAGAAAUUAGCUGAGAUACCUGCCUCUGAGCAACUCUCUUCUGCUUAUUGUCAGAACAGAAACCAAGGACC